AUGGUCGUCAUUACUGCUGGCAGGCAGCCGGAGGACGACGACGUCCCAACGAAGGACGCGGCUGCCGACGAGCUGGCGGCACCCUCCUCCUCCGCGCCACCCUUGCCAGUGCAUUGCACCAUGACCAUCGACGAGGCACGUGCCCAUUACAAGGAUAUAGUGCGGGAAGAGCAGUUCCGAGAGGUGCAGGCCAACGCCGCCUACAACCACCAACUCCUGCAUGAGCAUCUACAGGCAGAGGGGCAGCUCUUGGCCGGCAAGGCGAUCGCGCCGAGCGCGGACUUGGCGGAGCAGGUGGCGCUGCUUGACUCCUACCGCUCCGCCUACGAGAUCCGCCUCGCCCACUGGCGGCACUGCCAGCAGGCGACGAAACUGGCGGCCGCCUACAAGGAGUGCGACGAGGCGGGCGAGGCGGUCUUCGGCGAGACCGGCGACGAGGACGACAUUGCCGGAUCCACCGAGGCCGCUGUCGGUGUCAAAACCAGCUGA
rnacentral:rRNA from 1 species